AAAGUUCCAGAGACGAUAUGGAAUUAUAUUUGACCUGAAAUGUUCCCUUCCUGGAGCUCCGGAUGCUGCAAUUAAGAGGUUCCAUGUGACACUGCCUUCCGAUGUAUUGUGCAGAGUUCUGACAAGUCCUCAGAUUGGAUGUCUGGGUGAUGACAAAGGAGACCCACAGUUUUCCUAGGUAUUGAGGAAGGAGACCCCGGCAUCUGGGAUCACCUCCCCCUCGACAUUCACAGUGCAUUUCAAUAGAAGAAAAAGCAGGCCAACUGGUGCCUCCUGAAUUACCUUCCUGUAAGUAACACGCUUGGUAUUGGGGAAACUCUCUGGAAGACACUGUUUUUACUUAAAACAAGAUUAACGCCCCACCCCAUUCCUCCAUCCGGAGACCAGAGCCUUUUCACAUGUGAUCUCUAAAGCGGUAAUCCCAGA
rnacentral:lncRNA from 1 species